GCUUGUCUCAAAGAUUAAGCCAUGCAUGUCUAAGUAUAAAUAACUACACAGUAAAACUGCGAAUGGCUCAUUAAAACAGUUAUAGUUUAUUUGAUAAAUUAAAUGGAUAACUGUAGGAAACUAGAGCUAAUACAUGCCAAGGUCGUAAGACUGCAUUUAUUAGAUAUACCAAGUCGGUGAAUCAUAAUAACUUAGCAAAUCGAAACAACGUUUCGAUAAAUCAUUCAAGUUUCUGACCUAUCAUGCUGGAUGGUAGUGUAUUGGACUACCAAGGCAGUCACGGGUAACGGAGAAUUAGGGUUCGAUUCCGGAGAAGGAGCCUGAGAAACGGCUACUACAUCUAAGGAAGGCAGCAGG
rnacentral:rRNA from 1 species